UAAUGCGAUGAGCAACCUGCCCUGGAGAGGGGGACAACAGCUGGAAACGGCUGCUAAUACCGCAUAAUGUCGUUGGGGGGCAUCCUCUGACGACCAAAGAGUUUUAUCGCUCGUGGGAUGGGCUCAUGUCUGAUUAGUUAGUUGGCGGGGCAACGGCCCACCAAGACUACGAUCAGUAGCCGGACUGAGAGGUUGAACGGCCACAUGGACUGAGAUACGGCCCAGACUCCUACGGGAGGCAGCAGGUGGGGAAUAUUGGGCAAUGGGCGCAAGCCUCGACCCAGCAACGCCGCGUGAAGGAAGAAGGCUUUCGGGUUGUAAACUUCUUUUAUCAGGGACGAAGACGUGACGGUACCUGAUGAAUAAGCCACGGCUAACUACGUGCCAGCAGCAGC
rnacentral:rRNA from 1 species